rnacentral:lncRNA from 7 species
AUAGACCUUGCGACAUUAUUCAUAUUUUAAAAUAUUUAUUUGAUACUCAAAUAAACUAAAUACUAUUUUGUUAGCUUCGUAAAUUUGUGCUAAAACUUCAAAUCAGUGUUUGCAACAAUCUACAUAUUUUUGUAAUUUAAAUUUGAUUAGUGAUAAUUAUAAUUGAUCUAUGGUAGUUUUAUAAAUAUGAAAGGAAAGAAGGAUUACAUAUUUUUAACCAAAAAAAUAAGAGAUUUAUAGUGUUAUUUGUAAAAAAAAUACAAAUUUACUAGCUACCUCUCCUAGUCUACCAUUAUUUAUGUGUAGAUCAAUGUUAAAAUGUACAUUUGGAACCAAAAUAAAUUAGAAAUAGUUUUGUUAGUUUCAUAAUUAUGUAAUAAAGCAUUUUUAAUUAAUGAUUCCAACAGCUCACGUAUUUUCAUAAUUUAAUUCUUUAUUACUGUUGUUAUACAAGAAAUAUUAAAAUGGUAUUUUCAGUAGAUAUCAUAUUUUCAUAAUUUAACAAUGUUUAUUAUAGAUGUUUAAGUAUAGCCUUCUUGAAUAGAAAUUUAAAAGAAAUUGUAGACCAUAUGUUACUUAAUAAAAUAAAAGAUAAAUAUAUGUAUAAUUAUAUUUCCCUUUAAACUUGAUUUAGCCUUAUAUUCAAGUUCUUAUAAAUGAUGAUAUGUUAUGUCUCACAAUGUUUAAAAGUAAUAUAGAGCUUUUUCUAAAAUAAGUGUUAAAAUAGAUUAAUUAGUGUUCUUGUUUUUGUAAACUAAAAUGAUAGUUUAUACUUUUUCCUUUGAAAUGAUUUGGGUCAUAUGUUCCUAAAUUGAAACUAAAUAUAAUCAAUAGAUUAUUUAUAUUUUCUCACAAUUUAAUAAUUAGAUUACGUUACAAUUUGUCCAUAACUAGUAAUGUAGGCGUGAUUAAUCCGUUCAUCACAUUGAAUCCAUAUUUUAUAUAUAUAUAUAAUUUAGUGGUCCCUAAAGGAUAAAAUAAAUAAAAUUAGUGUUCAUGUUCUUUUUAUAAUUAAAUGUUAGUUUACAUAUUUGUUUUGUAUAUAGCUUUCUUAAUAAAGAAUACAUGACAUGUACUUUCUAAUAAAAAUAAAAUAUAAUUGUUUGUUCAUUUUCUCCUACAUAAAAGUUCAUUUAAAACAUAUACCAUAACUUUCCAUAAAUAGGUGUUUAAAAAUAAUAAUGACCUUUGCACAUAAAAUCUAUUUAGACUUAUAUCUUAAUUUAUCAUAAGUGAUAGGUUUAACAAUGAAUUAUAUGUUCCAUAAUGCUUCUAAAAAUUUAUAACGUGAUUAGUCGCCCAUUAACCUUGGAUAUAUAACAUAUAUCUUUUCUAAAAUGUUAAAAAGGUUUAAUAUUGUUAUAACGUGUUUUAUCAUCUUAUAAACCCUUAAUAUUAGACAUAUCACGUAUGAUGCUUUAUAAAAGAUUAAUUUGGUGAACCAAAUAUUUGUAUAUUUUAGUUAAUAUAUUUUAAGCCCAUGUCUUGUUUUAUAAAGUAUAGAUCACACCUUUUUGAAAAGAAUACCUUUUUAUUAUAACCCUUGCGUGUAGUGUUUUUGAAAAGCGAACGCUCUUUUCGUUAGGCUUUCUUUUAGCUUUACGUAUGGUGAAUGUGGUAUGUUAUUGAGUGGUGUUUGUUCUUCUUGUUUGUUAUGUGAUGUUUAGAUAUUGAUCCAGUAGUUGAGAAUCAAGAUAUAUUCUGUGGAAGAACCUCAAGUUUUCUAUAAGCAAGGCAAGUGGACUUCUCCCUCUGCAUACUCUGUUUGAUCCCAAACAAUACAUUUAAUAAAGUUUACUCUUUUGGAUAUAUAUGCAUAACUUGACGGGUUACCUAUUUAGAUAACCUUUCCAACCUUACUCCUUGUUUAACCUGGGAUUAUGAUCUAAUCAAGUAGCUAUGCUAUUGCUACAACUUUAAAUUUAUGCAGUCACUCCUGUUUAUGAUAUUAAUGUUCCAAAUGGUAAGAUUACUUUAUUGUUGUUAACCCGAUGGUUAAACAAGAUUAUUGCAUAUUAAUUGGAACAUGGAGUGACCACCCGGGAAAACAGUGCUACCAUGAGAACUAUCAUGGCUCUGGUCUUGGCUAAAUAACUAGGGAAGUCUUAUGUUGGGUGCUGGUCGUGGUCGACAGGAACGGGGGCAUCUGGCAAGCUCUUAUAGUUCCGGCUCAGGCAGAUUGGAUACGGGCAUAGUUCCCAAAGCUUUACCCUGUAGUCUGGACUAUAAGUUGGUUACGGUAGGUGUGCCUUAUGCAGUUUGACCAUUUCCAGCAUUUGCGUAAUGAGGACUCUAGGGAGAAGCCUCGUAGUGAGACCCUGGCCAUUCACCUCGGAAGUGAAUAAGGGUCUAGCUAACCCGGGCUAGAAGGGAAUCGCGACUCAUGGGUAAAGAUGCGCCACCUCUGCAGAGUGUAAAACUGAUAUAUCAGCCGUGCUCACGGUUAUGAGCAGCCUGGACUCCUCACAUGAUAAUUGAACUUGAAGAUGGAAAUAAAUCGAGAUCCGAUGAUCUGCCAAUGGUUUGCUUAAGUGGUUUCACUUAAGUGUUUUU